rnacentral:rRNA from 1 species
AUACGUAGGGGGCAAGCGUUAUCCGGAAUCAUUGGGCGUAAAGAGUGCGUAGGUGGUUUCUUAAGCGUGGGGUUUAAGGCUACGGCUUAACCGUAGUUCGCCCCAUGAACUGGGAGACUUGAGUGCAGGAGGGGAAAGUGGAAUUCCUAGUGUAGCGGUGAAAUGCGUAGAUAUGCCACAGAACGCCGAUAGCGGAGGCAGCUCGCCAGGCCUGCAUUGACGCUCGGGCACGAAAGCGUGGGGAUCGAACAGGAUUAGAUACCCUGGUAGUCCACGCCGUAAACGAUGGGCGCUCGUCGUCGGCGGCAGACAGUCGGCGGCCAAGCGAAAGCGAUAAGCGCCCCACCUGGGGAGUACGGUCGCAGGGCUGAAACUCAAAGGAAUUGACGGGG